AAACAGCCCCGUAUGUAUUGGAUCUUUGACAGUUUUGGCCCCCAAUGCCAUUUUUGACUUAGUCUUCGCUGACGUGGCACCUCACUUAAGGGAUGUGGGUGCCACGUCAACGAAGACUAAGUCAAAAGUGGCCUUGGGAGCCAAAACUGCCAAAGAUCCAAUACAUAGGGGGAUGUUU
rfam:Medicago truncatula strain A17 chromosome 8, whole genome shotgun sequence.